GAUGAACGCUGGCGGCGUGCCUAAUACAUGCAAGUCGAGCGAAAAGACGCUGAGCUUGUGCCUCUGACGUUAGCGGAGGGCGGGUGAGUCACACGUGUAUCCCCUACUUAUAUUACUGGGAUAACUUCGAGAAACGGGCUCUAAUACCAGAUAAUAUAUUGCACCGCGGGGGUCAUUGGUGAAAGUCGGCUUUUGUGUCUCGUAUAGCGGGUUCCGCGCUGUAUUGUCUAGUUGUGAGGGUAACAGCCUACCAAGGCAACGAGGCGUAGCCGAACUGAGAGGGGGAUAGGCCACAUUGGAACUGAGCCACGGUCCAGACUCCUACGGGAGGCAGCAGUAGGGAAUCGUCCGCAAUGGGCGAAAGCCUGACGGAGCAACGCCGCGUGAGUGAUGAAGGCCUUCGGUUCGUAAAACCCUGUUACUGGGGAAGAACAGAUGUGUAAGGAAACGUGGACGUCGUGACGGUACCGAAUAAAAAAGCAACGGCUAACUACGUG
rnacentral:rRNA from 1 species